GUGAACGCUGGCGGUAGGCCUAACACAUGCCAGUCGAACGGCAGCACCGUAAGAGCUUGCUCUUACGGGUGGCGAGUGGCGGACGGGUGAGGAAUACAUCGGAAUCUACUUUUUCGUGGGGGAUAACGUAGGGAAACUUACGCUAAUACCGCAUACGACCUACGGGUGAAAGCAGGGGAUCUUCGGACCUUGCGCGAUUGAAUGAGCCGAUGUCGGAUUAGCUAGUUGGCGGGGUAAAGGCCCACCAAGGCGACGAUCCGUAGCUGGUCUGAGAGGAUGAUCGGCCACACUGGAACUGAGACACGGUCCAGACUCCUACGGGAGGCAGCAGUGGGGAAUAUUAGACAAUGGGCGCAAGCCUGAUCCAGCCAUACCGCGUGGGUGAAGAAGGCCUUCGGGUUGUAAAGCCCUUUUGUUGGGAAAGAAAAGCAGCAGGUUAAUACCCCGCUGUUCUGACGGUACCCAAAGAAUAAGCACCGGCUAACUUCGUG
rnacentral:rRNA from 1 species